rnacentral:rRNA from 1 species
GACAGAGGAGCCAAGCGUUGUCCGGAGUAACUGGGCGUAAAGCGCACGCAGGUGGUUCUGUGCGUGGGUGUGAAAGCUCUCGGCUUAACUGAGAGAGGCCACCUCAUACGGCAGAACUGGAGCCCUGCAGAGGUCCACGGAAUUGCCGGUGUAGUGGUGAAAUGCGUAGAGAUCGGCAGGAACACCCAGGGGGAAACCAGUGGACUGGGCAGGCGCUGACACUCAUGUGCGA